CAAUCCAUGAGUAAAGUGGCGACCGGGUGAGUAACACGUGACUAACCUACCUCCGAGUGGGGAAUAACUCCGGGAAACCGGGGCUAAUACCGCAUAACAUCGCGAGAUCAAAGCAGCAAUGCGCUUGGAGAGGGGGUCGCGGCUGAUUAGCUAGUUGGCGGGGUAACGGCCCACCAAGGCGAAGAUCGGUAUCCGGCCUGAGAGGGCGCACGGACACACUGGAACUGAAACACGGUCCAGACUCCUACGGGAGGCAGCAGUGGGGAAUUUUGCGCAAUGGGGGAAACCCUGACGCAGCAACGCCGCGUGGAGGAUGAAGCCCCUUGGGGCGUAAACUCCUUUCGACCAAGACGAUAAUGACGGUACUGGUGGAAGAAGCACCGGCUAACUCUGUGCCAGCAGCCGCGGUAAU
rnacentral:rRNA from 1 species